UCCCUGGCAGUCCAGUGGUUAGGACUCGGUGCUUGCACUGCCGUGGGCCCAGGUUGGAUCCCUGGCCGGGGAA